rnacentral:rRNA from 4 species
CCACGUCAGGCUAGAUCACCCGC